rnacentral:rRNA from 1 species
AAAGAAGGCGGGGGGCAUGCCUAACACAUGCAAGUCGAACGAGACCUUCGGGUCUAGUGGCGCACGGGUGCGUAACGCGUGGGAACCUGCCCUUAGGUUCGGAAUAACUCCCCGAAAGGGGUGCUAAUACCGGAUAAUGUCUUCGGACCAAAGAUUUAUCGCCUUUGGAUGGGCCCGCGUUGGAUUAGCUAGUUGGUAGGGUAAAAGCCUACCAAGGCGACGAUCCAUAGCUGGUCUGAGAGGAUGAUCAGCCACACUGGGACUGAGACACGGCCCAGACUCCUACGGGAGGCAGCAGUGGGGAAUAUUGGACAAUGGGCGAAAGCCUGAUCCAGCAAUGCCGCGUGAGUGAUGAAGGCCUUAGGGUUGUAAAGCUCUUUUACCCGGGAUGAUAAUGACAGUACCGGGAGAAUAAGCUCCGGCUAACUCCGUG